UACGGAGGAUGCGAGCGUUAUCCGGAUUUAUUGGGUUUAAAGGGUGCGUAGGCGGAACAAUAAGUCAGUGGUGAAAGACUGCAGCUUAACUGUAGACUUGCCGUUGAUACUGUUGAUCUUGAGUAUGGUCAAGGCAGGCGGAAUGUGUAAUGUAGCGGUGAAAUGCUUAGAUAUUACACAGAACACCGAUUGCGAAGGCAGCUUGCUGGGCCAUUACUGACGCUGAUGUACGAAAGCGUGGGGAUCGAACA
rnacentral:rRNA from 1 species